UCCUACGGGAGGCAGCAGUGGGGAAUAUUGCGCAAUGGGGGAAACCCUGACGCAGCAACGCCGCGUGAGUGAUGAAGGUUUUCGGAUCGUAAAACUCUGUCUUUAGGGACGAUAAUGAUGGUACCUAAGGAGGAAGCCACGGCUAACUACGUGCCAGCAGCCGCGGUAAUACGUAGGUGGCAAGCGUUGUCCGGAUUUACUGGGCGUAAAGAGUAUGUAGGUGGGUGCUUAAGUCAGAUGUGAAAUUCCCGGGCUUAACCUGGGCGCUGCAUUUGAAACUGGGCAUCUAGAGUGCAGGAGAGGAAAGUGGAAUUCCUAGUGUAGCGGUGAAAUGCGUAGAGAUUAGGAAGAACACCAGUGGCGAAGGCGACUUUCUGGACUGUAACUGACACUGAGAUACGAAAGCGUGGGUAGCAAACAGGAUUAGAUACCCUGGUAGUCC
rnacentral:rRNA from 1 species